rnacentral:rRNA from 1 species
UACGUAGGGACCGAGCGUUGUCCGGAAUCAUUGGGCGUAAAGAGCGUGUAGGCGGCCUUUUAAGUCCUGCGUGAAAUCCUGCGGCUCAACCGCAGACGGUCGUGGGAAACUGGAAGGCUAGAGUGCGGGAGAGGAGAGUGGAAUUCCCGGUGUAGCAGUGAAAUGCGUAGAGAUCGUGAGGAAGACCCGUGGCGAAGGCGGAUCUCUGGACGGCUAACUGACGCUGAGGCGCGAAGGCCAGGGGAGCAAACGGG